GUUAGGUGAACCUUUGGAAGCGGAAGUCGGUGGUCUUCAGAUUCCUUUAGAACAUUCCUUUGAGCUAGAUGACAGCGUUGAUUUCAAGAAUCGAGCUGUGAUCCAGCUGAAACCAAGUCGAGAUACUGGUAUCAUUCAGUCUCAGAAUCAGCUGACAGAGGAGGAGCGUAACAAACUGAGGGAAGUGGCCUCAGUAGAUGGCUUAUGCAGAAUUCGAGUCCC